UACAGAGGGUGCAAACGUUGUUCGGAUUUACUGGGCGUAAAGCGCGUGUAGGCUGCUUCGCAAGUCGGAUGUGAAAGCCCUGGGCUCAACCCAGGAAGUGCAUUCGAAACUGCAGAGCUGGAGUCCUGGAGAGGGAAGCGGAAUUCCCGGUGUAGUGGUGAAAUGCGUAGAUAUCGGGAGGAACACCAGUGGCGAAGGCGGCUUCCUGGCCUGUUCUUGACGCUGAGGCGCGAAAGCUAGGGGAGCAAACGGG
rnacentral:rRNA from 1 species